AGGAGAGGAGGUGGCCCGUGGACAGUUAUCCUAGGGAACGCUACAAACAGUGACGGCCGGGGACAGGGGCUGUUCCCCCGCCCUGCCACAGUUUCGGGGGCCCCUCCCGGGAGAAGGAGAGCUCCUUGCGGAGUUGAGGAAUCCCAUUAGUCUGUAAGCCCUUUGCCGAGGAGACCAGAGCCUUGGCUGCCAUGCUGAUUGCACUCCGGGCCGCCCCAAGGCUGCAGGCCCAGCCGCUUCCACAGAACAGCGGCGGGGAAGCCUAUUAACACCCCCAGCGGGGCAGGGGGAGACGAGCCGCUCGAGGCAAACAGGAAAGGCCAGCAGCAGUAACUGCUCUCGCCCAGCUUCGCCUUGCAGCGGGGGCCCUGCUGUGUGGCAAUGCCUCCCCCUGCCGGGCGCCGGGCACCCACACAGCGAGUCCCUCGCCUCCCUCGGCGCUGAGGACGCCUUUCCCUCCCAGGCACCCUGCUCAGCAAACGCGGCAUUGUUCUGCCCGCUGCAGGGAUCGCGCUUGGCCCGUGAGGAGAGCGCGCCUGCCUGCAGCUCCUUUUCCUGCCUGCUGUCGGUCCUGAAGAUCUUCAUUUGAUUUGAUAUGUUGGAGCUUCACCUCUUCAAAGACCUGAUCCUGCACGGAAGUGCUCGGCACUGUGGAGAAUUGGCUCCAAAUUAGGGAUGGAUUGGGAGUCCUGCCAUUGACAUGAGUACAACGCGAAGUGUAUUUCAUACUUCACCAUUGUGCACUUGGACUGUGAAAACUAUUUCUCUCCAUCCAGGUUAGCUUUGAAAUUAUCUGGGCCAUAUGCUACAGUUAACACUCCCUUUUGACAUCAGUGAGAGUUUUGCUGAGCAAGGCCUACAUAGCUGAGUGCCAUGGUCUAAUAUUUCUAUGAGCCUGGGGCAGGAUUUUCAGAAGCACCAGUCCCCAUUUUAAAAGUGAACCCCUGGACUGCUACUGCAGCUGCAAACAGCAUGACUUGGCAGGAGCAAUCACAACAGGCUACGCAUAUUUGCAUUCAGUGUACACAGGAGUCCAAAACAAACUAUCUCAGAAGAGAAGACAGAGUUUUGAACAGGGACAGACAAAAAACAUGUCUUGAUUGACUGUCUGGGCAAGAUUGCUCAGGAGUCUGAACAAAAAAAUAAAAUCACAAGAAGAUAACUGAAUAGAUCUCCUCAGAGAUUUUUGAUGAACUUCAACAGUGGGGAGAGAACAAAGUUGUUUAAAAGUACGGUGACCAUCCAUCCUGUUUUGGCCAGGACGUCCUUUUUUUUAUCCAUUGGCAAGAGCAACCAGGACAAAUGCCCACCUUUGUCAAAAACAUGGGGUGCAGAGGAAUGUGUGAGGGGCGUGCGGAGAUGUGGGGGAGGAAGGGUUCUAGUGCACAGGGGGUCGGCAGGGUUCGAGCGACCAGCGACAGUCUCAUGGGGAGGGGGGCGGGCACCUUGGGUGAGCAGCUGGAGCUAGCCCCACGGGGAUGGGGAGGUGCUCGGGCCAGACCCAUGCAGUGUCGUGUUUUCCCUUUGGGAAAUAUGGUCACCCUAUUUAAAAGGGUAUUGAAAAUGAAUGCAAAGACUAGCCCAGAGUACUGGAAUUCCAUGAGACAGAGCUGGGUUCAUCCCAGAGGGCCAUGGGAAUGAAAACAAAACAAAACAAAAAAAAACAAGAGAUCUGGAAAGGCAUUCAGAGAGUGAAAAGUAGUAUUAGAGAGGAUCAAGAAGUAGCUGGGGGCAGGGGAACUUUAGAAAGACAGAGAGCAUUAAAAGAAAAAAAAAGGCUUCCAGUUUGGAACCAAAGUCAAUGAUUUACACCUUGUUGCUAAACUUGAAAUCUGACCUCACAGUGAACAUAGAAAAAGCCAUUCUGACUAGUAAUUACCCAAAGUUGACAAGGCAAGACUGCAGAACCAGUCGCUGUGGUAUGUGAAUUAAUAUUUGGUGGCCUGUGUGAACUGACCUGAUGAUCUCAGUUCUCUUCCUAGUAGAUACAUGUCCAUAUCACAAAGACGCAGCGACAACAACUGGUGUAAAUUAGGACACCUGCUAGCAGUCUCAGCAGAACCCAAAGAAUGAAUAGGUAUGAAGACUGGGCUACCUAUCACUGCAGAAGACAUUUCUCCAGGACAUGGUUAGGAAACAUUUUUGGAGCAGUAUAAGAGGAAAGAUUGAACUGUCACUGCCUACAGAGUACCUAUACUAUGGAUAAACAAAGGAUUUUAGUUUCCAGAUCUGUCAAUCCAGAACUUGGUCACUAGCACUAAACAGAUUUAGGAGGAAGGAAAAAAGUAUAUAAUGCUUGCACUUCAUUAGGUCUGACCAGACCUUCCUCAUCAUACAGUGCAUUUUAAUUCUACUUAAUUAUAAGGUAUACUUCUCAGUUUUUGACGCAAAUUUAACUCAGCCCAUACAAACCUGGCAUCAUCCCACUUCUCAUUACUGUUAAUUACUGACCGCAGAAAUGCUGAUUCAUAAAACUGAGGUUACAGAAAACUUUUCACAGUGUGCCAUAUGUUACAGAACCCUUCAUCUUUUCAAGCUUCCACCUCAGAUAUUUAGCAUCACGUCCCUCGUUUGUGGUCUGAGUCACCACAGAUUUUGAAGGUCAGCAUUACACAUUUAGUUGUAGACAAGUUGAGAGCCAUGUUCCACGCCUAUGCAGUGGAACAUAACUAGAUUCCUAUUCCCCAAAGAGGUGAAUGGAAAUCAACUGAAGCAGGGUUUUAGCUAUCUAGAUAGAUAACAUAUAAACAUUAAAAUAUAUAUUUGCCAAGAGGUGGAAGGGUACACUGUUUACAAGCUGAAAUCCACUGACUGAUCCAUAGCCUAUAAGAAAGAGAAGGUAAAGUCAUGCUGUGGGAAGUAGAAAUACCAGGCUGUUAAAUGGGGUUCUUAGAAAUACAGUAAGAGAAUGGAAAUAGAAAAAUGCUAGGAUGAAAGUUAGAUCGAGAAAGUGAAAGCAAUAGUCUGAACUCCCAGCAAAAAACUUAAGCAUCAAGCUGUGAACAUUUACUCUCAAAAUACUCUUAUAAGCAGAUUUUGAUCUGAGUUUAGAACUGUAUCAACCUCCCUUUCUGGAAGGUCCUGUAUUUCAAAUGCUGAUUUGGAAGUACAGUGUGGUAGACAGUCAUUUUCCUCAUUUGGUUCAGAAAAGCACAAAUAACCAGAAUGAUAUAUAAAUUUAAUUGUCACUGUCUUGCAGUUAUUUUUUAGUAACUGCCACAAACCUGAGCUUUGGUAUUUAAUGAACAUCCCAGGCAACCUACUCAGACUAAACACACAGUGCAUUUUCAAAGCUGUAAUUUCAUGAAAACAAAAUGGCUGGAGAGAGAGAGAACAAGCUAGCACUAUUGUUUUUAAUAUCAUUUUUAAACUACAGCAACAGGAAGGUUGAAAUAACCCGCCCACCCACUCUUCACCGGAUAUCAAGAGGUUCAAUUCACCUGAUUCUGCACUACUGAAAUCAAGGGGUGUUUGCCACUAAUUUCUCAUGGGAGCAGGAUCCCUACUCUUCCCUGUCAACCAUCAUCCUUUAUUUCACUUUCCUGUCCAUGGCAAUCUCUUUCCCCAAGACUGUAAAUUUGUUCAUCCCUUGGUUUAACAGUGCUCCCCAAGUUAAUCUGCAGAAUGAUUUGGUACCCAUAACACAUAAGAGUUAGCAGUGAGCCAGGUAAGGGAUACGACCGAGAAGACAGCAGUACUCAGAUGCCAUAGUGACAAGAGUGAUAUCAGACCCACAGAAGAUCAGGAGUAAAUGUGAAUGCUAUUACUCAAGUCAUCAGAUAUGUGUCACUUGUCUGCCUACUUCCUGCUAUCUCUAGGAAUUAAUAAAUGCUUCAAGCUAUGGUUAGUCAAAUUUUCACUUUGACAAGUGAUGGCAGUGGUUUCACUUUUCACCAUAGCUCUAAGUAAAGUCAGUUUGGGACCAAAUUUUAAUCUCCAACCCACACAAAUCUGGAUUUGGAGCUGGAGAAUGCUGUAGGGAGGUAGAUAGGGCACUGAAUGGUGAAAAGGAACAGUAGAGGGAUAUGGGGAAGUGAGGGUGUUUAACUUAAAAAUACCUCCCCACUCCCCCAAAAAUGCACACUUAUCACUAUCCUGGUCACAUUGCUUAUGUGCUGUAAUGCCUUCCCCAAGCCCUUGUCCAUCUUUGUAUUUUUAGACUCUGGAAAGCACUUCGCAUAUUUUAUCUUUCUAAAAGAUAUGCUCUAGUUCACCCACUGGUUGCUGGGGUAGAUAUAGGAAUCACUGAGUAAUAUCUGUGCCCUGUUAUGCCUUCUGGCCUUAAAAACCUAAGAAUUGUAGGUGCUAUCAAAAUACAAAUAACCAGCAUCCAACAGGUCUCACACUUUUAUCAUCACAAUUUCUCUUCAUCCUAACAAAUGCAUUGUGGAAAUUUGAUAUUAGUUGUUGUAAAGAAAUUACUCCUUUGGCAUGCUGGAUUCCCAUCUGCCUGUGUCCGUCAUUGGAAUGGUGUGUGACAUGUCAUUACAACUUGAUUUUGGAAAAUAGGAAUUGAGCACUGAUGAGGUGAAAAACUGUGGUGUUUUAAUGAGAUCUAGGUUACAGCCAUCUUCACCUCUUGCUCUCUGUUGUCCUCUCCACUGUCCAAAGGGCUAUUGCCUUUUCACUACGUCUUUGGUUUACCAUUAUGGCUAGACUGUUCCUGCUCAAAGCCAUACAUGGAGGGAUCCAUGAGGAAGGGGAGAAUAUUGUUGGUGUUGGAGCCACUAUGGGGGAGAAUGUGCAUCAUCCCUCCCCCUCAACUUCUGCAGAAAACGGUCUAGAGGAAGGAUGAUCUUGUGAAUAGGGCCUGGAUUUGGUAAGCCAGGAAGUUGUCACCUGACUUCCUGUAUGGCCUUGGGCAAGAUGCUUAAUUUACCCUAUACCUCAGUUCCCUAUCUGUAACAUUGACAUAAUACUUCCCUACUGCUCGGGAUGUUGUAAGGUUGAAAUCUAUUUGUGUUGGUGAAGUGCUCAAAUACUACAGGGAUAAGGGACACAAAAACAUCUAGAUAAGAGUGACUCCUGAGUGGAUUCUGUGCUGGCACUGCAGAGCUUCUCCACUCUGUGGAAUUUUCCUCCUCCACUCUGUGGAAUUUUCCUCCUUCCCCUUUAAGGAGGAGGUUCCAGAGCUGCAAACCACUGGGAGUGGAACUGGUGAAGAGCCAUGACAAGGACUAGAAGGCACUGCAGAAUCCUUUUUAUUUCCGUACACACGGUGGUGGCCUGUGCUGCCUCACCUGAAAUCCAUGGUGGUUGGGGCCUCAAACCCCUGCUCCUUUCUGAGAGAAACCCUAACCGCCCCUCCCCCCCCCAAAAAAAAACACGUUGUGAGAAGAACCUCAAAGGAUUUUAAUUGCUCCCUCUCUGAGCUCACUGCUGUAGGUUUUGCAGUGGGAGACAGCAACCAGGACCAAAGGCCCUUUGGAGUAGGGCCCUCAAUUUUACAUUUGCCUGUAAAAUCCUAUGCCUGUAAAGUCCUAUGCUUAUAAACAAGUGUUGUGUUUCAAGCAAUGCUUACAAUUUUAUUCCAACUGUCACAAUAUUUGGUGUUUUUCUUGAAGCCCCAGCUCUCAAAGUCUUGGGACUAUGCAAAAAUCUCAACUAGCAUUUUUUUAAAGCAAGUUUCUAAUACUUAUAGAUGCAGAGAAAGGCUGGGGAAUGUGUGACCCAAGAGUGACAGAGACAGGAAUUUCCUGCAACAACCUUGAAAAACCUGAUUGAAUUAAGCUUAAUCAUCUUCGGGAUCCAUUACAUUAAAUGGAAUGUUUAUUUACUACUGUAAAUAGGGCUGGGAUUGUAUGUAACCUCCCUAGGGGAGAAAGGUGAUAUGAGGCGUAGGAGUUCACAGUUGAAAACAUGAAAGACAAGAAUGGAAUUUUGGGACAAUAAGUGUGAAGUGGACUUCCUGGGGGACACCUAGAGAGAGGUUAAUGCAAAUCUCCCCUCCCCCAUUAUGCAAAAAUCUUGCCUUUUGAAGCUACAUCCUGAGGAGAAAGUUUUUGUCUGCUGAUAACCUGUAGCCAGAGACUGGAGAUCAAAGGGCAAAGCUGUGUAAAGAAAUGGAUGAACUGCUGAGCUGGUUGUUCUGGCUCUGAAUCUGACAGUCAUAGGCACUGACUCCACGGGUGCUUCAGGGUUGGAGCACCCAUGGGCAGCCCACGAUCAGCUCCUCCCCUUCCCCCCAGCACCUCCCACCCACUAGCGGCCCCACCGAUCUGCGCCUCCCACCCGCCACAAUCAGCUGUUCCGCAGGAAGCGCUGGGGGGCAGGGAGAGGAGUGACGGCAGGGUGUGCUUGGGGCAA